rnacentral:rRNA from 1 species
CCUACGGGAGGCAGCAGUGAGGAAUAUUGGUCAAUGGGCGCGAGCCUGAACCAGCCAAGUCGCGUGAAGGAUGACUGCCCUACGGGUUGUAAACUUCUUUUAUAAAGGAAUAAAGUGAGCCACGUGUGCCUUUUUGUAUGUACUUUAUGAAUAAGGAUCGGCUAACUCCGUGCCAGCAGCCGCGGUAAUACGGAGGAUGCGAGCGUUAUCCGGAUUUUUUGGGUUUAAAGGGAGCGUAGAUGGUUUGUUAAGUCAGUUGUGAAAGUUUGCGGCUCAACCGUAAAAUUGCAAUUGAUACUGGCAGUCUUGAGUACAGUUGAGGUAGGCGGAAUUCGUGGUGUAGCGGUGAAAUGCUUAGAUAUCACGAAGAACUCCGAUUGCGAAGGCAGCUUACUAAGCUGCCACUGACACUGAUGCGCGAAAGUGUGGGGAUCAAACAGGAUUAGAUACCCUUGUAGUC